GAGAGAGAGGGCACUUUGCCAUC
rnacentral:snRNA from 1 species